rnacentral:tRNA from 1 species
GUGAAUUUAGUUUAACGAUUAAAACCUUUGAUUUGCAAUCAAAAAAUCUGGAACCCCACCACCCCAGAAUCCACAA